UGGGGAAUAUUGCACAAUGGGCGGAAGCCUGAUGCAGCAACGCCGCGUGAAGGAAGAAGGUUUUCGGAUCGUAAACUUCUGUCCCUGGGGAAGAAAUAAAUGACGGUACCCAAGGAGGAAGCCCCGGCUAACUACGUGCCAGCAGCCGCGGUAAUACGUAGGGGGCGAGCGUUAUCCGGAAUUACUGGGCGUAAAGAGUGCGUAGGUGGUUAUGCAAGCGCGGGGUAUAAGGCUAGGGCCUAACCGUAGUUCGCCCCGCGAACUGCGUAACUUGAGUACAGGAGGGGAAAGCGGAAUUCCUAGUGUAGCGGUGAAAUGCGUAGAUAUUAGGAGGAACACCAGUGGCGAAGGCGGCUUUCUGGACUGCAACUGACACUGAGGCACGAAAGCGUGGGUAGCAAACAGG
rnacentral:rRNA from 2 species